rnacentral:tRNA from 1 species
GAGGGUGUAGCUUAGCAGUAGAGCUCGUGCUUAGCAUGCACGAGGUCCUGGGUUCAGUCCCCAGGACCCUCA